AAACAAAGCCAGGGAAGGGCCUGCAGGAAUUAAUGAAGAUGAAGGCCGCUCUUUUGAUGAUACUAGUGGUGGCCGUUUCUUUCAAUUUGUGCACUUGCAAUAUUCCAGGGAACAUGGAAGAAGAACAUGGUAUGUACAAGGAUGUGCAUGCUGGGAAGGACAUGCGCAAGCUGAUCGAUAUUGAUGGAAGGACUGCCCCUACAGGCCAUGACUAUGACCAUGUCUGUCCACGUGGUAUCUAUCCUUGCUGAAUAAUAAUGUCCUAGUUCUCAAUAGGACCAGAAGCUAUUGGAGCCAACUAGUAAUUAAUAGCAUCAUCUGGAAUAAUUGUAGAACAAAUAUUUGGAUGUAAGAUUUGUGUAUGUUUGAAUCCCCACGGGGCUAUUGGUGUGAGUGCAAUAUAUCUAGUUUAUAUGGUUUGUAACGUGUAAUUCUUAAAAUAGUAUAUAUAUGCUAUAAAAAUACUUUAGUGUUCCAUUGCAUUAUAGUUGCCUGCGUUUAUUUCUAACAGAGAUUAUGAAUUAUGAUAAAUCUGGCAUUUCACCUAUGUAGGAAAUAGAAAUGGUAUCUACGUGUUUUUUUAGAAUAUCCAUGUAUAUAGAUCACCGCAUGCAUACAUUUAACAUUUGUAAUUUCAAAUUCAUACUGCCAACUAAUAUGAUCAAUUUUAUAUUUGGAUCAAGUUGUUAGAUUUGCAAUAUAUGAUCACAUAUUGUAAACAUUAUUGGCAAUGACAAAUGAAUAUUGCAGACAUUGUUGCCAAAUUUGAUCUCCUAAAAAGUAUAGGUCACAGGAUAAUUGUUCUUGUAGUUCCAAAAAAACGUAUGGAUUAAUGCAGCUUACAAAAUGCAUCUCUAGAAAGUUCUGGCUGGAAAUUGAGAUAAAAUCUACAAAUUGCCACUAACCUAUUAUUCUUUAAAGUAAAAUAGUUCACCCACUCAAGUUGUCAUGGCGUUUAAUUAGUGGAGAACCCAUUUUCCACAACUAAAAUGGCGGAUCAAGCAUUCUUAAAAGAAAUAGUACUGCAUCUGCAUCCUAUAAAUAACACCAGUUUUUAGCUGUAUUCCACCAUUCGCAAAUUUGUCCAUCACCGCCAAGACCAUCUUCAACAUUCGGGAUCGCAAGAGAAAAUGAAAAUAAUUGCGUUCCUCUUUGUUGGUAUGAUUUUUGUCUGUUCAUGCACUAAUUGUGUGUUAUGGAAUAUAGAAUCAGGUAGACCACCGGAGGAUUUGCACCAGAAUAAAAUGAGGAAUUUAUUGGCCAGCACUGAUAGAAAGGUUGCUCCUGGCGAUAGAAUUGAUCAUCGGUGCCAACGUAUCAAUUAUCCAAAUUGCAAGUGAAUGAGCUAUUGGUAAAGCAAAUGAGGUACCUUAAAGAUACUGAAUGUCAGUGUAGGAAAUAAGAUGUAAUUAGCUAGGCUGGUUUGUAUUUGUAAUAUAAAAUUUUAUGCAUAACUAUUCAAUUUAGUAUAUAUUGUUCAAUCAUAUUGAGAAUUAUACACUUGUGAUGUUUUGUUGGAAA